GAUGAACGCUGGCGGCGUGCCUAAUACAUGCAAGUCGAGCGAACAGAUAAGGAGCUUGCUCCUUUGACGUUAGCGGCGGACGGGUGAGUAACACGUGGGUAACCUACCUAUAAGACUGGAAUAACUCCGGGAAACCGGGGCUAAUGCCGGAUAACAUUUAGAACCGCAUGGUUCUAAAGUGAAAGAUGGUUUUGCUAUCACUUAUAGAUGGACCCGCGCCGUAUUAGCUAGUUGGUAAGGUAACGGCUUACCAAGGCAACGAUACGUAGCCGACCUGAGAGGGUGAUCGGCCACACUGGAACUGAGACACGGUCCAGACUCCUACGGGAGGCAGCAGUAGGGAAUCUUCCGCAAUGGGCGAAAGCCUGACGGAGCAACGCCGCGUGAGUGAUGAAAGUCUUCGGAUCGUAAAACUCUGUUAUUAGGGAAGAACAAAUGUGUAAGUAACUGUGCACGUCUUGACGGUACCUAAUCAGAAAGCCACGGCUAACUACGUG
rnacentral:rRNA from 1 species